rnacentral:lncRNA from 1 species
GCCCUAAAUGCUCAGACUGAAUGGGGACUGGAUCAAGGGAAUGUAGAGUUGAGGUGGGGGCAGCAGAGGUGGAGGGCGGAAGGCCUCAUUCUAUUUAUUCAUUUAUUUAUUUAGGCCUUGCCCAGAGCAUGCAGAAGUUCUGGGGCCAGGGAUCAAACCCAAGCCACAGCAGUGACAACACCAGACCCUUAACCUGCGGAGCCACCACAGAACUCCAGCAGACCUCAUUCUUGAUAAGACUGGAUGAGGGUGGGCAUCAGCGUUGCCCGGUGGGCAGAACCCCGGCCCAAUUUGGAGCCUCCUUCCCUCCUGGUGGCUCUCAGGAAAAACAUCUUUAACCACACCUUAUACCAAGGGAGCGUCUUGAGGUCCCCUGGGCAUUCUUCUGUAACCUGCCGUCAGCCCCGUGCUGCACAAGUUCAAGCGUCCAGAUAUUCUCAUAUAGCCUUGUAAUUGUUUGCUUUCCAUCAUAGAAAUGAUAUAUCUCUUUUAAAUGAACUCAGAAGGAAAGGUCAAAAGUAGCAGGGAAUGUCUGCAGUGCUUCAGACAUUUAAUACAUGCAGGCUUUGAUAGACUGGGAGCCUAGGGCCUGAGUGUGGGGCAGGGGUGAAGAGGUAUCACUGUAGGUAAGUACAGGGGAACUUGGGGUCGCUACAAGGCUGAGGAGGGUUGAGGACAGACCAGUUCUUGGGAGCCAGCUCCACUAAUCUCCUUUUUUUUUUUUUUUUUUUUUUCUGUUUUCAUUUCUUUUUGCCUUUUCUAGAGCCACUCCCGAGGCAUAUGGAGGUUCCCAGGCUAGGGGUCUAAUCAGAGCUGUAGCUGCCGGCCUACGCCAGAGCCACAGCAACGCAGGAUCCGAGCUGCAUCUGCGACCUACACCACAGCUCACGGCAACGCCAGAUCCUUAACCCACUGAGCAAGGCCAGGGAUAGAACCUGCAACCUCAUGGUUCCUAGUCGGAUUCAUUAACCACUGAGCCACGAUGGGAACUCCCUCCAUUGGCCUCUUCAGAAAAAGUGUCCUUCAUAUUUCUGAGAAGGUUGAGGUUCCAGUGUAAGCAGAUAGGGUAGGAGGUCCGGGGAAGAAAGAACCUGAUACAGGUUUUUGACAUAAGAGAAGCCAUUUUAGGCCUAAGCCAUUUUAGGAUCUAAGCCUGGCCACAAUGCUUACCCUUAAGCCGGUCUCAGUAAUUAAUGACCUUAAGGGAAUGAAGGAAUGCAGGAACAGAGGAAAAGCAGUCAAGAAACAACAGUUCAGCCAUAAAACCAAGUCCUAGUUCCUUCUCAAGGGAUACGCAUAACAAUCUGAUAAAUAUCUUUGAGUUGUACUGCAAGAAAGAAGACUCCCACGCUGGUGGAGGGUGGUUAACUACAUGCUAGGACCCCAGACAGGUGAUGUCGACCUUUUCUGACCCUCGUGACUUCAGUCAACUAAAGUUUGAACUCUGUCAACUUUUACCCCAAUUCUAUGUUGAGU